CACGUAGGGGGCGAGCGUUGUCCGGAUUUAUUGGGCGUAAAGAGCUCGUAGGCGGCUCAGUAAGUCAGGUGUGAAAACUCCAGGCUCAACCUGGAGACGCCACCUGAUACUGCUGUGGCUAGAGUCCGGUAGGGGAGCAUGGAAUUCCUGGUGUAGCGGUGAAAUGCGCAGAUAUCGGGAGGAACACCCGUAGCGAAGGCGGCACUCUGGGCCGGUACUGACGCUGAGGAGCGAAAGCGUGGGGAGCAAACAGG
rnacentral:rRNA from 1 species